ensembl:lncRNA
UUAAUCUUUAAUAUUUUAGGUUUCUUACACUGAAAAUAUAUUCAUACAUCACCAGGUAAUAAAAAUACAUGAUUAAAAAUGAAUACAGCAGGUGUUUGCUUACUUAAAAUUAAAUGCUAAAAAAUAUCAUUCUUAAAAUACACACAUGAAUGCCCCAAAAAAUUAAUGGUUCUUCUCCCCCAGCUGGCACUCUGAAGAAAGAGACUGGAGGCGGAUACCUCUGUGAACUUUCCAAGGCUAGAGGAAGCACUGGAGCAUGAUGAUACCUCACCACUUUCUCCGCAGGUAGAAAUUUGCAAAGCCUACACACACCAUGAAACUUAUUUCGGGUUCAGUUCUCAUGAAAUUGAAAUAUGGAUCCACAUUUUUUUCAUUAAUGAUGCCUACCUUCCCAGUGACCUCAUUUAGAUAAGAGCCUAGGUGGUGAUUAUGUCAUCAAAAUUCAAUCCAGUGAGUUUGGAGAAGUCUGGUCUCCUUGACCCAGGCUACUCUUGUCUGGCAAAGUCAGUGAGAGCUAUUAGAGCUCUGUUUCUGAUUAUACCUAUAGAACUCUCUGAGUCAAGGGUUCACCUUUUGUUCCUUUAAAAUGAAAAGCCAAAAUUGGCUGGAUGGAUAUCAAAGUCCUCAUGCAAGCUCACAUGUCAUAGACAACCCUGCAAUUUCAAACUCUUAUUCAAGCCACACAACCACCCCCUUGUCUUUGAACUUUACUUCUGAGUCAAAUGUCAGUAGACAGACUUCCUGAUCCAGUGCCCAGUCCCUGGCUUCAUGUAGUCAGGAAGUUACUGUGGCAGCAGCAAAGGCAGCAAACCUGACCUCUCAAUCACAGCUAUGGUGACUUUGAAACAAAAGUCCCUCCUGACUUCAGCAACCCCAGCUCUUCCAAUGAGUCUGCAAGGACCAAUUCCCUGUAUUAAAUCUCUUUCUGCUUAAAAUACCUAGAGUGGCUUCUGAGCCUAUCUUCUGCACAGAACUCCGACUAAAUACAAGUUGGAAGAUCCUAUUCAGAACGUAGACCCAAACACAAAACAAUAAGAAAAUAACAGAGAGGAGGAAAACUAAAACAAUAAAAUUAGAAAACCAUUCUAAGACCUCAGCUAUCCAAAUACUUGGAGUUCUAGAGAGUGAAGAUGUGGAUAGAAAAUAGGAAGAUGAAGGAAGGAAAUCUUUGAAGAAAUAAUUCACGAAAAAUAUUUUGGAACCGAAAAAAAUGGGUUUUCAGAUUGAAAGAGGUCACUGAGGAACAAUUAUAUGCUUCCUGAUCUGAUAUAGGAAAUAGUCCCACCUAUAAAAUGCUCUUGCCAAAAACUGAAAUGUAAUCAAGACUCUACCAGUUUACAGGACAUUCAAAGGACAAUGUCACAUUUUUAAAACAAUGCAAGGAUCUAGUCAGUCAAAAUCAGAUGGUGAGAAACUCUACAGGAGAAUUUACCCAGUUUCUUCAACAGUUCAAUUAUAUAUUUUUUGAAAGGAGGGGUAGGAAUAACUGUUACAGAAUCAAAGAGAAUUAAGAGACUUAGAAGCUAAAUGCAAAGUGUAGACAUUUUCGGAUCCUGAUUUAAAUAAACCAAUGUGACAAGUCAUUUUUGAGAUAAUUAGAGAAAAUUGAUCCUGGAUUAUGUCUUGCAAGAUUGUAAGGAAUUGUUAUUAAUUUCGUUCAGCGUGAUCAUGGAGUUAUGGUUGUUAUUUUUUUUCUAAUUCUUACUGUUGGAGCUAUAUAUUAAUAUGUUUAUGAAUGCAAUGAUAUGAUACCUGGGAUUUGCUGUAAGAUAGUGCUGUUAAAAAAAAAGUGGGAUGGAGUUCCCUUCGUGGCUCAGUGGUUGACAAAUCCUACUAGGAACCAUGAGGUUUCGGGUUUGAUCCCUGGCCUCACUCAGUGGGUUAAGGAUCUGGCGUUGCCGUGAGCUGUGGUGUAGGUCACAGACGCGGCCUGGAUCCCGCAUUGCUGUGGCUCUGGCGUAGCCUGGUGGCUACAGCUCCGACUGGACCCCUAGCCUGGGAACCUCCACAUGCCUUGGGUGUGGCCCUAGAAAAAACAAAACAAAAAAAAAAAGUGGGAGUUCCCGUCGUGGUGCAGGGGAAAGGAAUCUGACUAGGAACCAUGAGGCUGCGGGUUCAAUCCCUGGCUUCGCUUAGUAGGUUGAGGAUCUGGCAUUGCUGUGAGCUGUGGUGUAGGUUGCAGACCAGGCUCGGAUCCUGCGUUGCUCUGGCUGUGGUGUAGGCUGGCAGCUGUAGCUCUGAUUCGACCCCUGGCCUGGGAACCUCCAUAUGCCACAGAACUGGGGUUUUGUGAUGAGGAAGAAAUAGCAGAAAGAGGCUGAAGGAUAGGGGCAGCUUCUAGAAAAACUUGAUUGCCACACACAAAGAGCUUAUCAAUAAGGAUUAAAUAAGAUCUGAAUAAAGAAUUUAAGCAAGAAAAGAACACAAUUAGAAUGCUUUUUUAUGUUUGUUUUUUGACCUCACCUGUGGCAGGUCAGGGGUUGAACCUGUGCCACAGCAGUGACAAAGCCAGAUCCUUAACCCACUGAGCCACCAGGGAACUCCUAGAAUGGGGUUUUGAAAAGAUCAUUUCAGGGAGUUCCCAUUGAGGCUCAAUGGGUUAAGAACCUGGCAUUGCAGAGGGCUGCGGAGUAGGUCACAGAUGCGUCUCGGAUCUGACGUUGCUGUGUCUGUGGCUUAGGUAGGCAGCUGCAGUUCUGAUUCACCCCUAGCCCAGGAACUUCAUAUGCUGCGGGUACGGCCCUUAAAAGAAAAGAAAAGAAAAGAAAAGAUCAUUUCAGCAGUUGAUGGGAGCAGGACUGGGGGUAGCGUGAAGAGUUAGAAGUCUAUCAUUAAGCUAAAGCAAAGGAGAAAUGACAAAGGCUUAUCUAUUUACUCUGUUCUAUUUCGUAUCAGACUAUAAACUCCAAGACAGCAGGGCCACGUCUAUCUUGUUCUUGCUGUGUCUCCAGCACGAAACAAAAAGUCUGCUUCAUAAAUAUUCGCUGAAAGAAUGAAUGAAAGGGAGGCAGUGGAGGUGAGGCAUUUUGAAGAACUGGGCUUAAUAGUCACUGGCCUUGGCAAGGGCAGAAUGGUGAUAAAUGGUGAGAGCAGAUGGGAAUGGGGUGGGGGGUGUCGUGGAGCCUGGUUCCUUAAGAUUCCUUUAAGAGCUUGGGUGAGGGGGUAUUCUAUCACGGACACAGGCUUCCAAAAAAAAAAAAAAAAAAACAACACUUCACAGGUCUAAUUCCUGGCCUCCUCGGUUCACAAAAGGAGGAAAUGAUCAGUAUUUUGAAGGACUGAAGGGAGGAUUAAGGAAAAAUUUAGCAAAAAUUUCUGUCCUUCCUUAAACGCAGUGUUUCCAAAGCACACAGCAAAAGGGGACUAACUUCAACCUCACUCAGUGACGAUGAUUUUUUGGGUGGGGUGGGAAC